GACAGAGGGUGCAAACGUUGUUCGGAAUUACUGGGCGUAAAGAGCGCGCAGGCGGUCGUUCAAGUCGAGUGUGAAAGCCCCCGGCUCAACUGGGGAGGGUCAUUCGAUACUGAUCGACUCGAAGGCAGGAGAGGGUAGUGGAAUUCCCGGUGUAGUGGUGAAAUGCGUAGAUAUCGGGAGGAACACCAGUGGCGAAGGCGACUACCUGGCCUGUUCUUGACGCUGAGGCGCGAAAGCUAGGGGAGCAAACGGG
rnacentral:rRNA from 1 species